CGGCAUAUGGUGUAGGCGGUUCAUCACACUCGCUCAUGUCUUCAUCUGACGCGUUGGUCAUGCUUGCGAGAGAAGUCCGGUUCGAGUCCGGAUAUGCCCA